CAAUAGCGUAUACUAAAGUUGCUGCAGUUAAAAAGCUCGUAGUUGAAAUGUGAAGUGCAACGAUUGCUGGCUGACGGGAAACCGUUUGGCAUGGUAUCGUUUUGUGCUUUUAACUUGUCUGAAGGUCGCCUCUACUCUUUAUUGAGGGGAGGUUCCUGCUCGCCCGUGGUGGGUAGGCGUGUAAAAGCGGAACUUCAGGCCGUUUACCUCGAACAAAAGCAAGUGUUCAAAGCAAGCGAUUUGCUUCUGAAGCCUCAAGCUUGGAAUAAUGGAAUAAGACCUGGAGUGUUGUUCCGUUGGUACUGGGCCGCCUUUCGGGGUGGUUCUGGUGCAAGGCCCGGGUAAUGAUUAAUAGGGACAGUUGGGGCCAUUCGUAUUGGAGAGUCAGAGGUGAAAUUCUUAGAUUUCUUCAAGACGAACAUCUGCGAAAGCAUUUGGCAAGGAUGUUUUCAUUGA
rnacentral:rRNA from 1 species